rnacentral:rRNA from 1 species
CACGUAGGGCGCAAGCGUUGUCCGGAAUUAUUGGGCGUAAAGAGCUCGUAGGCGGUCUGUUGCGUCUGCUGUGAAAACCCGGGGCUUAACCCCUGGCUUGCAGUGGAUACGGACAGACUAGAGGUAGGUAGGGGAGAAUGGAAUUCCCGGUGUAGCGGUGAAAUGCGCAGAUAUCGGGAGGAACACCGGUGGCGAAGGCGGGUCUCUGGGCAGUAACUGACGCUGAGGAGCGAAAGCGUGGGUAGCGAACAGG